AGAGUUUGAUCCUGGCUCAGAAUGAACGCUGGCGGCGUGCUUAACACAUGCAAGUCGAACGAGAAAGGGAUUGCUUGCAGUCCCGAGUAGAGUGGCGCACGGGUGAGUAACACGUAGAUAAUCUGCCUUCAAGCCUGGGAUAACUAUUCGAAAGGGUAGCUAAUACCGGAUAAAGUCGAUCUACACAAGUAGAUUGAUGAAAGAUUGCCUCUUCUUGAAAGCAAUUGUUUGGAGAUGAGUUUGCGUACCAUUAGCUUGUUGGUGGGGUAAAGGCCUACCAAGGCAACGAUGGUUAGCUGGUCUGAGAGGAUGAUCAGCCACACUGGAACUGGAACACGGUCCAGACUCCUACGGGAGGCAGCAGUGAGGAAUUUUGCGCAAUGGGGGCAACCCUGACGCAGCAACGCCGCGUGAGUGAAGAAGGCCUUUGGGUCGUAAAGCUCUGUCAACAGGGAAGAAGUUACAAUUGUUUAAUAGAUGGUUGUAUUGACGGUACCUGUGGAGGAAGCGCCGGCUAACUCCGUGCCAGCAGCCGCGGUAAUACGGGGGGCGCAAGCGUUAUUCGGAAUUAUUGGGCGUAAAGGGCGUGCAGGCGGUCUUGUCCGUCAGGUGUGAAAGCUCGGGGCUCAACCCCGGAAGUGCACUUGAAACAGCAAGACUUGAAUACGGGAGAGGAAAGCGGAAUUCCUGGUGUAGAGGUGAAAUUCGUAGAUAUCAGGAGGAACACCGAUGGCGAAGGCAGCUUUCUGGACCGAUAUUGACGCUGAGGCGCGAAGGCGUGGGUAGCAAACGGGAUUAGAUACCCUGGUAGUCG
rnacentral:rRNA from 1 species